rnacentral:lncRNA from 1 species
GUUCAUGGAUGGACCCUCCUCUCCCCAGAAAUGUAUCCCAGGUCCCUGGCAAACCCUGGAGCUAUGGCAUCACAGAUCUAGAACUAUAAGGGCCAUGAGAAAUCAUCUAGGCCAAUGCUAUCAUUUGACAGAAGAAGAAAGUCCCAGAGAGGGUAAGGGACUUGACCAAAAUCAUGCCGGCAAAUGGAAGAGUUGAGAUUUGAAAACAGGUCCGACAUGUGAAAUUAUGAAGGAUAAAACGAACAAACCCAGGGGAAUGUUAUAUGCAUCAAUGCCUAUCAAUGAUGAUCAUGGAAAUGGACCUGCCAUGAUUCUAGAGCAGUGUCGUCAAAUUCAAGUAGAAAUGGAGGUCACCAAUCAGUCUCUUCAUGAGGAUCCCUAUGGUGAAUCUGGUAUACCUCACUUGAGAGGGGGCAUGUUCUUGGCACCCCUGCUCUUGAGGAGUGUGGACAUCCUCUAGGGCUGGAGUUGGAGUGACUUAAGGGCAAGGCCCAGCAUAAAAGAUUGGAAAGAGUCUCCCAUUGACCCAUCAACUAAUCCUCAGCUCUUCUACCUCUACCUCUGCCACCAAAGCCAAGGAGGACCAUGCAGCAAUCAAAAGAGAGUCCUGAGGUCAUGGGUAAUCCUCUAACUUGGGCCAAGAAAGUGUGGGGGACAUAUGAAACAUGGUGUACAGAGACUCACUGAUAAAGCUAUUAAAAUGUGGGUGUUAGGGGAUAGCUGGGUGGCUCAGUGGAUCUAGAGAUGGGAGGUCCUGGGUUCAAAUGUGGCCUCAGACACUUCUUAGUUGUGUGACCCUGGCCAAGUCACUUAACUGCCAUUGCCUAGUCCUUACCUUACAUUGCCUACUCCUCUGCCUUGGAACCAAUACCAAGCAUUCAUUCUAAGAUAGAAGGCAAGGAUUAUUUUUAAAAUGGAGGCAUUGGGAUUGGGGAACCCAGUUAUGUUUUAUAUCUAGUUAGUCCAUGUAUUCUAUCUAUCUAUCUAUCUAUCUAUCUAUCUAUCUAUCUAUCUAUCUAUCUAUCUAUCCAUCUAUCUAUCCAUCCAUCCAUCCAUCCAUCCAUCCAUCCAUCCAUCCAUCCAUCCAUCCAUCUAUCUAUCAUCUAUCUAUCUAUCUACCUAAAACUUGGCGCUAGUCUGAAGUUUCAUUAGAAGAGGAAACUAUUAAUGGAAAAACUACCUUUCCUAAUACAAGUCAGCCCCCUUUCUGUAGUUCAUACCUUAGAGUUUCCUAAAACUGAGAAGUUAAAUAAUUAAGAGGUCAAGUGACUUGCCC